rnacentral:rRNA from 1 species
UACGAGGGGGGCGAGCGUUGUUCGGAAUUAUUGGGCGUAAAGGGUGCGUAGGCGGUUUGGUAAGUCUUAUGUGAAAUCUAUGGGCUCAACUCAUAGUCUGCAUGAGAAACUGCCGGGCUUGAGUGUGGGAGAGGUGAGUGGAAUUCCCAGUGUAGAGGUGAAAUUCGUAGAUAUUGGGAAGAACACCGGUGGCGAAGGCGGCUCUCUGGACCGAUACUGACGCUGAGGCGCGAAAGCGUGGGGAGCAAACAGG